GUUAGCUCAGUCGGUAGAGCACAAGACUCUUAAUCUCAGGGUCUUGGGUUUGAAUCCUACGUUGGGCA